rnacentral:ncRNA from 1 species
GCUGAGGGCGGUGAUGGAUCCCGCCAGGGCUAGCCGCCCGAACCGCCGCCAGGGCUGAUGGUUCCUGUCUCGUC